rnacentral:rRNA from 1 species
GCCAGUGUCAUAUCUCUCUGCAGUUCUCACCUGGUGUCCCACUGGAGAUAAGCAGACUUGAUCCUGGUCAGUACCUGGAUGGGCAACCACCUGGAGAAAACUAAGGUUGCUGCUGGAA